GACGAACCGUGCGAACGUUGUUCGGAAUCACUGGGCUUAAAGGGCGCGUAGGCGGUCGAGCAAGUCCGGGGUGAAAUCUUUCGGCUUAACCGGAAAAGUGCCUUGGAUACUGCUGGACUUGAGGGAGGUAGGGGCAGCUGGAACUUCCAGUGGAGCGGUGAAAUGCGUUGAUAUUGGAAGGAACGCCGGUGGCGAAAGCGAGCUGCUGGACCUCUUCUGACGCUGAGGCGCGAAAGCUAGGGGAGCAAACGGG
rnacentral:rRNA from 1 species